CUCUGAGUGUGAUGUGUGGACACCAGUACACCAUGAUCAGGGAUGUGAGGCCACAGGAGCAAUUGCCUUAGCCGGACCCAAAGGGCAAUAUUCUCACCUAUGGCCAGAAAGCCUGCCCAUCUAGGAGCACAGCUCUGGGCCAGUAACCCGGGUCCAGGAGGUCAGCCUGCCUUCUGGCUCCUAGAGGGAUUCCUGAGUGGUAACAAGUGUUUCCAGUUGCCUUUGCUACUAGGAUUCAUGCACUCAGGGCACUGGGGAGCUUCUUGUUCCUGCAUGCAGAGCGACUUUGCAUUGGACACUCAUGCAUGCCCUCUUCUUGAAAUCUGAGUGUGAUGUGUGGACAACUGAACACCAGCGUUUGGGUCUGUGAGAAGCCACAGGAGAAAUUCCCUUAGCGGGACCCAAAGGGUAGGUGUAAGAGGCUGGGUUCAUCCACUAUUGUUGGGUUGAACAGAGUUCCCAUCCAUGUUGAAAACACAGCUCUG